rnacentral:rRNA from 1 species
UGAGGAAUAUUGGUCAAUGGGCUGAGGCCUGAACCAGCCAAGUCGCGUGAGGAAGACGGUCCUAUGGAUUGUAAACCUCUUUUGUCGGGGAGCAACGACGUCACGAGUGACGGAAGUGAGAGUACCCGAAGAAAAAGCAUCGGCUAACUCCGUGCCAGCAGCCGCGGUAAUACGGAGGAUGCGAGCGCUAUCCGGAUUUAUUGGGUUUAAAGGGUGCGUAGGCGGACUGUUAAGUCAGCGGUAAAAAUUCGGGGCCCAAACCCCGUCAUGCCGUUGAAACUGGCGGACUAGAGUGGGCGAGAAGUAUGCGGAAUGCGAGGUGUAGCGGUGAAAUGCAUAGAUAUCACGCAGAACUCCGAUUGCGAAGGCAGCAUACCGGCGCCCGACUGACGCUGAGGCACGAAAGCGUGGGGAUCGAACAGGAUUAGAUACC